GGCAAGCUCCGCAUUCACAUCCAAGUGUCCCCUUAGGAAAGAAGUUAAUAUUCUUUUACUCAGUCAGUGCCGCAGAAGCUCCUGCUCUUCUACUGGCUUUCAGUAUGACGCCACUAGAGGUGGAUUUAGUCCUGCAGAGUAAACAUUGCUGUGGCGAAAGCGACCUCGCCACUGGUUUUUGGAGGGGACUGAUUGACAGCCUCAUGCCUUGGUACUAUGGCUCCUGGGAGAU